rnacentral:tRNA from 1 species
GCGUGCAUCGUAUAAUGGCUAUUACCUCAGCCUUCCAAGCUGAUGAUGCGGGUUCGAUUUCCGCUGCACGCUCCA